AUACGUAGGUGACAAGCGUUAUCCGGAUUUACUGGGCGUAAAGGGCGUGUAGGCGGUCUUGCAAGUCAGAAGUGAAAUUCCUGAGCUCAACUCGGGCGCUGCUUCUGAAACUGCAGGACUUGAGUGCUGGAGGGGAUAGCGGAAUUCCUAGUGGAGCGGUAAAAUGCGCAGAUAUUAGGAAGAACACCGGUGGCGAAGGCGGCUAUCUGGACAGUAACUGACGCUGAGGCGCGAAAGCGUGGGGAGCAAACAGGAUUAGAUACCCUGGUAGUCCACGCCGUAAGCGAUGAAUACUAGGUGUAGGGGGUAUCGACUCCCUCUGUGCCGCAGUUAACACGAUAAGUAUUCCGCCUGGGGAGUACGGCCGCAAGGUUGAAACUCAAAUGAAUGGACGGGG
rnacentral:rRNA from 1 species